UUAAGGUAAACAUGGUUUUUCAGUUAAGGCUAGUGUAUGAGCUUUAAAACAAAGAAAUGAGGAAAGCAUAGGCUCAAAAGGGUCAUCAAUGGAUCAAAACAGGGUAGGCUCAUUUGGCUAGAAGGGAUUAAUGGAGGUCGCACCCCAUGCAAAAUUUAAUGUGCAUAAAAGAAUGCAGCAUAGACUAGGAAUUGACUCCUAGGUCGUCUCUCAAGGACUAAAUCGCAGUUCAAGAAUCAAGUCUAACACGAAGUGGG
rnacentral:lncRNA from 1 species